UACGGAGGGUGCGAGCGUUGUCCGGAAUCAUUGGGCGUAAAGGGCGCGUAGGUGGCCCGGUCAGUUCGUGGUGAAAGCGCGGGGCUCAACCCUGCGUCGGCCAUGAAUACUGCCGCGGCUGGAGCACUGUAGAGGCAGGCGGGAAUUCCGGGUGUAGCGGUGGAAUGCGUAGGAGAUCGGGAAGAACAUCGGUGGCGAAGGCGGC
rnacentral:rRNA from 1 species